UACGGAGGGGGCUAGCGUUGUUCGGAUUUACUGGGCGUAAAGCGCACGUAGGCGGCGUAUCAAGUCAGAGGUGAAAGGCCUGGGCUCAACCUAGGAACGGCCUUUGAUACUGGUAUGCUUGAGUUCGGAAGAGGGUAGUGGAAUUCCAAGUGUAGAGGUGAAAUUCGUAGAUAUUGGGAAGAAUACCAGUGGCGAAGGCGGCUUACUGGUCCGAUACUGACGCUGAGGUGCGAAAGCGUGGGGAGCAAACAGGAUUAGAUACCCCGUACGUC
rnacentral:rRNA from 1 species